GGAGCAUGUGGCUUAAUUCGAUGCAACGCGAAGAACCUUACCCAGACUUGACAUAUAACUGCACGUCCUAUGAAAGUAGGAUUUCUUCGAGAGUGUUAUACAGGUGCUGCAUGGCUGUCGUCAGUUCGUGCCGUGAGGUGUUUGGUUAAGUCCAGCAACGAACGCAACCCUUGUGACUAGUUGCCACCGAAGGUUAAUAGCCUUCGAGCACUCUAGUCAGACUGCCCUUGCAAGAGGGAGGAAGGUGGGGAUGACGUCAAGUCAGUAUGGCCCUUACGUCUGGGGCUGCACACGUGCUACAAUGGCCGGUACAGAAGGUUGCAAUACCGCGAGGUGGAGCUAAUCCCUAAAACCGGCCCCAGUUCGGAUUGGAGUCUGCAACUCGACUCCAUGAAGUUGGAUUCGCUAGUAACGGCGUAUCAGCUACGACGCCGUGAAUACGUUCCCGGGCCUUGUACACACCGCCCGUCACAUCAUGAAAGCCGUCUGCACCCGAAGUCGUUGAUCUAACCCGCAAGGGAGGAAGACGCCGAAGGUGUGGGUGGUAAUUGGGAUGAAGUCGUAACAAGGUA
rnacentral:rRNA from 1 species